rnacentral:rRNA from 1 species
CACGUAGGGAGCAAGCGUUGUCCGGAUUUAUUGGGCGUAAAGAGCUCGUAGGUGGUUCGGUAAGUCAGGUGUGAAACCUCCAGGCUCAACCUGGAGACGCCACUUGAUACUGCUGUGACUGGAGUCCGGUAGGGGAGCGUGGAAUUCCUGGUGUAGCGGUGAAAUGCGCAGAUAUCAGGAGGAACACCGGUGGCGAAGGCGGUUCUCUGGGCAUGUCCUGACGCUGAGGAGCGAAAGUGUGGGGAGCGAACAGG